GUUUAGUAAUAGUGAUAGUAUUAGAGAGGCUGCACUGGCUAGAUUCUACCCCACCCCUGGCAUUGCCUCACGGUGUGACCUAGGGUCAGUCUCCCCGUGGUCCUGGUCCUCAGCUGCUUUUUCACAAAGAGUUGUUCCCAUAAUCGGUCCUUUUGAAAACUUCCCACUGGCCAUAUCGAACAAGCAUCUGUACCCAGAGUAAGAGUGAGUUCCCUGUAUUUGCCAUCUUGUCUCAACUAACACCACCUACAGAAGCUGACAAUGACUGUUGGGCUUUUCCAGUGGAUGCCGGAACCCAUUUCUUGCAGCCUGGGGGGGAAGGCAGAAUAACUGGCAGCAGGAGAGAGCAACCAUGAAGUGUGCUACACGCUCAUGGGCAGAGGCCCCUGCUCCCCUAACAGAAGACGGUUUCGCUGAGCACAGGACACAGCACUCGGGUAGGAGGACAUAUCCCCUGCUUUGUAGGACAUCAUGUAACAAAGAUUUACAGGAACAGAGAGAGGAGGCAACUUGGCCAAGGUCAGGUAGCAAGUGAGGAAAAGGCCCCUCUCCUGUGGGGUCUGGGUUCGUUGCCGACUGGGCCUGCACUGAAGACAGCCAAGUGAGGACAGCCCAUCAUCCUGGAGCUGCUGCCGCAAAUCCAAAUUAACCAGAGGAAGGCAGCAGGCAGCACCAGGGAGGAUGAGCACCCAAGGGCCGGCCAUGCACCCUCCAUGUCCAGAAGAACUCAGACAUCACACCAUGAGAAGCCCAAACCAUGUGGAGAAGCCAGGUCGAGGUACUCCAUUUGCCAGGGCCAGCCGAGUUCCCAGCUCAUGGCAUCAACUGCGAGCCCUGAGAGUGCGCCAUCUUGGACAUCCAGCCCCAUGGAGCCUGCAGGUGACUCCAGCUCUAACCACGACCUGAUGCAACCACUUGAGAAAUCCCAAGAAAGAAUCUCCCAGAUGAGCCCAGUCAACCCGUGGAACUGAUUCAGGGAAGAUGCACGUCAUUGUCAGCAAAGCACCAAGCCAUCUGGCCUUCGUUGUACCUUUGAGUUGAUGUGAAAUUUCCGGCUUCACAUUUGGACAGUCCUUGAUCUGAGCACCAGAGCCCCAGAGGUGAUUGGGAGCAUCACUGUGAGAAGCCACCAUUUUUUGGACACCAACUGCGAUCCACAGUGUCCCAAGGGCUUUAUUUAUUUUAAUCUUGUGUUUAAUCUUCCA